rnacentral:rRNA from 1 species
GACGAACGCUGGCGGCGUGCUUAACACAUGCAAGUCGAACGGAAAGGCCCUGCUUUUGUGGGGUGCUCGAGUGGCGAACGGGUGAGUAACACGUGAGUAACCUGCCCUUGACUUUGGUAUAACUUCAGGAAACUGGGGCUAAUACCGGAUAGGAGCUCCUGCUGCAUGGUGGGGGUUGGAAAGUUUCGGCGGUUGGGGAUGGACUCGCGGCUUAUCAGCUUGUUGGUGGGGUAGUGGCUUACCAAGGCUUUGACGGGUAGCCGGCCUGAGAGGGUGACCGGCAACAUUGGGACUGAGAUACGGCCCAGACUCCUACGGGAGGAAGCAGUGGGGAAUAUUGCACAAUGGGCGGAAGCCUGAUGCAGCAACGCCGCGUGCGGGAUGACGGCCUUCGGGUUGUAAACCGCUUUCGCCUGUGACGAAGCGUGAGUGACGGUAAUGGGUAAAGAAGCACCGGCUAACUACGUG